rnacentral:rRNA from 1 species
AUUGAACGAUGGCGGCAUGCUUUACACAUGCAAGUCGAACGGUCACAGGCCGCAAGGUGCUGACGAGUGGGGAACGGGCGAGGAAUGCAACGGAACGUGCCCUGUCGUCGGGGGUAACGCAGCGAAAGCUGCGCGAACUCCGCAUACGAGCUAGGGAUGAAAGCGGGGGGACGUAAGGCCCCGCGCGCUUGCAACGGCCGAUGUCAGAUUAGGUUGUGGGUGGGGUAAAGGCUCACAAAGCCAACGAUGUGUAGCUGGUCUGAGAGGUACCACCAGCCACACUGGGACUGAGACACGGCCCAGACUCCUACGGGAGGCAGCAGUGGGGAAUUUUGGACAAUGGGCGCAAGCCUGAUCCAGCAAUGCCGCGUGCAGGAAGAAGGCCUUCGGGUUGUAAACUGCUUUUGUACGGCACGAAACGGUCCUGGUUAAUACCCGGGGCUAAUGACGGUACCGUAAGAAUAAGCACCGGCUAACUACGUGCCAGCAGCCGCCGUAAAAC